GAUGAACGCUGGCGGCGUGCCUAAUACAUGCAAGUCGAGCGAACGGACGAGAAGCUUUCUCCUCUGAUGUUAGCGGCGGACGGGUGAGUAACACGUGGAUAACCUACCUAUAAGACUGGGAUAACUUCGGGAAACCGUAGCUAAUACCGGCUAAUAUUUUGAACCGCAUGGUUCAAAAGAUAAAGACGGCCUUGCUGUCACUUAUAGAUGGAUCCGCGUUGCAUUAGCUAGUUGGUAAGGUAACGGCUUACCAAGGCGACGAUGCAUAGCCGACCUGAGAGGGUGAUCAGCCACACUGGAACUGAGACACGGUCCAGACUCCUACGGGAGGCAGCAGUAGGGAAUCUUCGGCAAUGGGCGAAAGCCUGACGGAGCAACGCCGCGUGAGUGAUGAAGGUCUUCGGAUCGUAAAACUCUGUUGUUAGGGAAGAACAGAUGUGUAAGUAACUGUGCACAUCUUGACGGUACCUAAUCAGUAAGCCACGGCUAACUACGUG
rnacentral:rRNA from 1 species